CCUACGGGUGGCAGCAGUGGGGAAUAUUGCGCAAUGGGCGAAAGCCUGACGCAGCGACGCCGCGUGUGGGAAGACGGUCCUCUGGAUUGUAAACCACUGUCCCCAGGGACGAAGAUGACGGUACCUGGGGAGGAAGCUCCGGCUAACUACGUGCCAGCAGCCGCGGUAAUACGUAGGGAGCGAGCGUUGUCCGGAAUUACUGGGUGAAAAGGGAGCGUAGGCGGGACUGCAAGUUGGGUGUAAAAUCUACCGGCUCAACCGGUAGCCGCACUCAAAACUGCAGUUCUUGAGUGAAGUAGAGGCAGGCGGAAUUCCUAGUGUAGCGGUGAAAUGCGUAGAUAUUAGGAGGAACACCAGUGGCGAAGGCGGCCUGCUGGGCUUUUACUGACGCUGAGGCUCGAAAGUGUGGGGAGCAAACAGGAUUAGAUACCCUGGUAGUU
rnacentral:rRNA from 1 species